rnacentral:rRNA from 1 species
CCUACGGGUGCAGCAGUGGGGAAUUUUGCACAAUGGGGGAAACCCUGAUGCAGCGACGCCGCGUGAGCGAUGAAGUAUUUCGCUAUGUAAAGCCCUAUCAGCAGGGAAGAAAAUGACGGUCCCUUACUCACCAGCCCCUGCUAACUACGUGCCAGCAGCCGCGGUAAUACGUAGGGGGCAAGCGUUAUCCGGAUUUACUGGGUGUAAAGGGAGCGUAGACGGUCCUGCAAGCCAGAUGUGAAAGCCCGGGGCUCAACCCCGGGACUGCAGUUGGCACUGUAAGGCUAGAGUGUCGGAGAGGCAGGCGGAAUUCCUGGUGUAGCGGUGAAAUGCGUAGAUAUUAGGAGGAACACCAGUGGCGAAGGCGGCCUGCUGGAGGAUGACUGACGUUGAGGCUCGAAAGCGUGGGGAGCAAACAGGAUUAGAUACCCCAGUAGUC